rnacentral:lncRNA from 1 species
GGCAGCUUUAUCAAAUUCAUCAUAGCCCCAGGAGAAGAUGGAGCUGUCCUCGGUGGAGGUGCCUGCGUAACUCGGGCUAGCAGACCAUGAAUUCCCAUCAUCAGUUGGAGUCACAGAAGGGUAAUCUGAUUCCUUCGAGAUUUCGGACUCACUUGAAGCCCCCGGGCAGCUCUCAGAGGUGGGUGUGACGGGGCUGGGCUCUGGCAGCGGGUGGUGCCGCACGGCGUGCUGCGUCAGGCC